GAUGAACGCUGGCGGCGUGCCUAAUACAUGCAAGUCGAGCGAACAGACGAGGAGCUUGCUCCUCUGACGUUAGCGGCGGACGGGUGAGUAACACGUGGAUAACCUACCUAUAAGACUGGGAUAACCUCGGGAAACCGGAGCUAAUACCGGAUAAUAUACUGAACCGCAUGGUGCAAUAGUGAAAGACGGUUUUGCGGUCACUUAUAGAUGGAUCCGCGCGGCAUUAGCUAGUAGGUAAGGUAACGGCUUACCAAGGCGACGAUGCGUAGCCGACCUCAGAGAGGGAUAGGCCACACUGGAAGUGAGACACGGUCCAGACUCCUAAGGGAGGCAGCAGUAGGGAAUCUGACGCAGUGGGCGAAAGUAUGACAGAGCAACGCCGCGUGUGAGAUAAAGGUCUUCGGAUCGGAAAACUCUGUUAUUAGGGAAGAACAGAUGUGUAAGUAACUAUGCACGUCUUGACGGUACCUGAUCAGAAAGCCACGGCUAACUACGUG
rnacentral:rRNA from 1 species